rnacentral:rRNA from 1 species
GACGAACGCUGGCGGCGUGCUUAACACAUGCAAGUCGAACGGUGACCCUCGGAGCUUGCUCUGAGGUGAUCAGUGGCGAACGGGUGAGUAACACGUGAGUAACCUACCCCUGACUCUGGAAUAAGCGCUGGAAACGGCGUCUAAUACCGGAUAUGAGACGGAGUCGCAUGACUACCGUCUGGAAAGUUUUUCGGUCUGGGAUGGACUCGCGGCCUAUCAGCUAGUUGGUGAGGUAACGGCUCACCAAGGCGACGACGGGUAGCCGGCCUGAGAGGGCGAUCGGCCACACUGGGACUGAGACACGGCCCAGACUCCUACGGGAGGCAGCAGUGGGGAAUAUUGCACAAUGGGCGAAAGCCUGAUGCAGCGACGCCGCGUGAGGGAUGACGGCCUUCGGGUUGUAAACCUCUUUCAGCAGGGAAGAAGCGAAAGUGACGGUACCUGCAGAAGAAGCACCGGCUAACUACGUGCCAGCCGCCGCAGUAACAC